AACGAACGCUGGCGGCAUGCCUAACACAUGCAAGUCGAACGAGACCUUCGGGUCUAGUGGCGCACGGGUGCGUAACGCGUGGGAACCUGCCCUUAGGUUCGGAAUCACUCCCCGAAAGGGGUGCUAAUACCGGAUAAUGUCUUCGGACCAAAGAUUUAUCGCCUUUGGAUGGGCCCGCGUUGGAUUAGCUAGUUGGUAGGGUAAAAGCCUACCAAGGCGACGAUCCAUAGCUGGUCUGAGAGGAUGAUCAGCCACACUGGGACUGAGACACGGCCCAGACUCCGACGGGAGGCAGCAGUGGGGAAUAGUGGACAAUGGGCGAAAGCCUGAUCCAGCAAUGCCGCGUGAGUGAUGAAGGCCUUAGGGUUGUAAAGCUCUUUUACCCGGGAUGAUAAUGACAGUACCGGGAGAAUAAGCGCCGGCUAACUCCGUG
rnacentral:rRNA from 1 species